UGCAUGGACGGUGUCUCUGUAAACAGUAUC
rnacentral:piRNA from 1 species